rnacentral:rRNA from 1 species
UACGUAGGGUGCGAGCGUUAAUCGGAAUUACUGGGCGUAAAGUGUGCGCAGGCGGCAGAGCAAGUCGAGUGUGAAAGCCCCGGGCUUAACUUGGGAAUUGCGCUCGAAACUACUUUGCUGGAGUGUGGCAGAGGAAGGUGGAAUUCCACGUGUAGCGGUGAAAUGCGCAGAUAUCGGGAGGAACACCGGUGGCGAAGGCGGUUCUCUGGGCCUUACCUGACGCUGAGGAGCGAAAGCGUGGGGAGCGAACAGG